GAUGAACGCUGACAGAAUGCUUAACACAUGCAAGUCUUUGGCGAAGCUGUGCUCGCACAGCCUAGCCAAGGCGGACGGGUGAGUAACGCGUAAGGAACUUGCCCUGCAGUCAGGGAUAACAGACGGAAACGACUGAUAAGACCUGGUAAAGUCAGGCGGACUCAUGUCCAGCCUGAUGAAAAGAGAUGCUGCAGGAGAGCCUUGCGUCCUAUUAGCUUGUUGGUGGGGUAACGGCCCACCAAGGCGAUGAUAGGUAGCCGGCCUGAGAGGGUGGGCGGCCACAAGGGGACUGAGAUACGGCCCUUACUCCUACGGGAGGCAGCAGUGGGGAAUAUUGGACAAUGGGGGCAACCCUGAUCCAGCAAUUCUGUGUGCACGAUGAAGGUUUUCGGAUUGUAAAGUGCUUUCAGCAGGGAAGAAAAAAAUGACGGUACCUGCAGAAGAAGCGACGGCUAAAUACGUG
rnacentral:rRNA from 1 species